UACGUAGGGUGCGAGCGUUAAUCGGAAUUACUGGGCGUAAAGCGUGCGCAGGCGGUUCGUUGUGUCGGCGGUGAAAGCCCCGGGCUCAACCUGGGAAUGGCCGUUGAAACUGGCGGGCUGGAGUGCGGCAGAGGGGGGUGGAAUUCCGCGUGUAGCAGUGAAAUGCGUAGAGAUGUGGAGGAACACCGAUGGCGAAGGCAGCCUCCUGGGCCAACACUGACGCUCAUGCACGAAAGCGUGGGGAGCAAACAGG
rnacentral:rRNA from 1 species